rnacentral:rRNA from 1 species
GAUGAACGCUGGCGGCGUGCCUAAUACAUGCAAGUCGAGCGAACGGACGAGAAGCUUGCUUCUCUGAUGUUAGCGGCGGACGGGUGAGUAACACGUGGAUAACCUACCUAUAAGACUGGGAUAACUUCGGGAAACCGUAGCUAAUACCGGAUAAUAUUUUGAACCGCAUGGUUCAAAAGUGAAAGACGGUCUUGCUGUCACUUAUAGAUGGAUCCGCGCUGCAUUAGCUAGUUGGUAAGGUAACGGCUUACCAAGGCAACGAUGCAUAGCCGACCUGAGAGGGUGAUCGCCCACACUGGAGCUGAGACACGGUCCAGACUCCUACGGGAGGCAGCAGUAGGGAAUCUUCCGCAAUGGGCGAAAGCCUGACGGAGCAACGCCGCGUGAGUGAUGAAGGUCUUCGGAUCGUAAAACUCUGUUAUUAGGGAAGAACAUAUGUGUAAGUAACUGUGCACAUCGUGACGGUACCUAAUCAGAAAGCCACGGCUAACUACGUG